GAUGAAGAACGUAGUGAAAUGCGAUAAGUAAUGUGAAUUGCAGAAUUCAGUGAAUCAUCGAAUCUUUGAACGCACAUUGCGCCCGCCAGUAUUCUGGCGGACAUGCCUGUCCGAGCGUCAUUUCAACCCUCGGGCCCCCCUCUGCGGGCGGCCCGGCGUUGGGGCUCAGGCGCCGUCUCUGCUCGGCGCCUGUCCCCUAAAUGCAGUGGCGGCCUCGCCGCUGCCUCCUCCGCGUAGUAGCACAAACCUCGCGGCUGGAAGGCGGCGCGGCCACGCCGUAAAACCCCCCAACUUUACCAAGGUUGACCUCGGAUCAGGUAGGAAUACCCGCUGAACUUAAGCAUAUCAAUAAGCGGAGGA
rnacentral:misc_RNA from 1 species